UGCCAGCAGCCGCGGUAAUACGGGGGAUGCAAGCGUUAUCCGGAAUCAUUGGGCUUAAAGCGUAUGUAGGCGGACUAUCAAGUCAGGAGUGAAAUCCCAGGGCUCAACCCUGGAACUGCUCUUGAAACUGGUAGUCUAGAAUUCUGGAGAGGUUGGGAGAAUUCCGAGUGUAGAGGUGAAAUUCGCAGAUAUUCGGAGGAAUACCAGUGGCGUAGGCGCCCAACUGGACAGAUAUUGACGCUCAGAUACGAAAGCGUGGGGAGCAAACAGGAUUAGAUA
rnacentral:rRNA from 1 species